rfam:Operophtera brumata OBRT01_Sc01087, whole genome shotgun sequence.
UGUUCUAUGGCCGAACUGGUAAAGGCAUUGCCGAUCACAGGCAAGAUUCCGGGUUCGAGUCCCGCUGGAACGG